ensembl:lncRNA
CUUGCAAUAUGGUAUAAAAUUCAUGGCAUCGAGUUCUGACAGAAGCAGCCAAGGCAAUGUGCAGCUCAGUUCAGGUUUGCUGUACAGACAUUAUCUAAUUUUAAAGGGAAUAACUCCAGCGUGGGCCAUUGCUAAGCCUGGGGGAAGAGGCCAUGCACUGACUUGUGCACAUGGUUUGGUAAAAUGGUAGUGGUUGGGCAAGGGGGAAGGAGGUGCAGAAGGGAUCAGGAGCGGUGUUUGGAAGGACUAGGCUGAGUCUGAGAGCUGCUACUUUUCUUUUCCUACAGUACAUGGAUAUUGCUGCCACAGGACUAAAGCACAUCUUGCUUACUUUGCAAUGGAACUUGAGAUUAAAAGGAGCAAUUAAAUAGGUAUUCAGAAACUGUUUUUUCUCUAUCUUAGGAAAAUAAAACAGAAGAAAAAGACAACUGCUAAUCAUACAAGCUAAUACUCUUUUACUUAAGAGACCUAUUCGUCUUAUUGCAAAACAUAAUGCUGUCCAAAGAUUGCUGAGCUUGCACUGAAGGGGUAAAGCUGAGUGCUAGAAACACUACAGUUGUGUUGGAAUAGUCCUUGGUGGGGCUGGAGCACCUCUGCACACGCAGGGGUUUUCUCCUAUAUGCACAUAUGCACACUGCUAUGCACAUUGCAUAUUGCUAUUCCUAAUCCUCCAAGGUAAGUAUCAAACCAGAGCCCUAACCAUCUAAGUAAGACUGCUAAAUAAGAAGAGUGACAAGCAGGUUAUAGGUCCCCAUCCUGGACUUUGAUCAGGCUUCCACUAUAGACUACAAUAUCAGUCAGAGUUUUAUCCCUUGUUUUGUCAACAAAAGUCACUCUGUGGAUUUAGUUAUGACAAAACUGUGCAUUCACCAGGGUCACUUAUUUCACCCAUAUUACGCAGCAAAAAUGAAAUUCUGCCAGAAUAAACAAGUCUACACCAUGUGCUAGAACAGCUUACUAGAAAUAGCUACUCCAAGACAGCUCUCUGCUAUGGCCCAUGUUUAUCACAGGGAAACUGGGAGAUCUUGCUCUAGCACAGAUCAAACUGCAAGACAUAAGGUCAGACAGCAAGAGUCUGGGAAGUGUCCCAAUUCCUAAUGUUACUUCUCUUUGCCUUAGUAGCAAAGAGGUAUUGGCAGCUUUAGUCACGCUGCCUCAUGCAGAGGAGCUACGGACCAGGGGAAGCUAACUGUUUCUGUCUGGUUUAAUUUGACCACUUAAACAGUUAAUCCCUUUGUAAUGUCAUUUUUUGGCAUAGACAUCAUGUCUGUCUACUUCUGAAAAGAUCUUUUUAUUAAUACAGCUUUUUAACAUAUGAAACAGUUUGCAUCAGCUUACAGUGCCUUAGCAGCAGCAGACCACUGUCGGUAGGUAUGCACACAGACAGGCACACAGACAUAGGCAUCUAUCCAUCCACAUUACGUCUAAACAUCCCUUGCUCAGUCCCUUCUAAUUCUUCUGAUUUAUUUAUUUGGUCACUUUUUCCAGUGUUUUCAUAUCUUUUGUUUCAUGGACAAUGUUGCUACCUUGUUCCAGUAUGUUUAGCUCAGGCUCUGCUUUGCUUUAAAUCCUCCCUUACUUGUAAAUAGUGAACAUACUGGAGGGAGUCCAAUGAUUAAGGGACUGGAGCAUCCCAAAUGAGGAAAGGCUGAGAGAGCUGGGAACGGUUUCCCUCAGAGUAGAGAAGGUUCUGGACAGAUAAUAUAUAUAUAAAUAUCUGAAAAAGAUGGAGCCAGGCUCUUUUUCGUGGUGCCCACUGAUGAUAUGAGAUAACACACAUAAACUGAAACACAACAAGUAGUAUCCUAAUAUAACCCUGCCCACAGCAGGAAGGUUGGAACUAGAUGAUCUUUGAGGUCCCUUCCCAAAUUGUUAUAUCAUUCUAUGAUAAGGAAACUCUUCUUUACUAUGGGAAUGACUGAGCAAUGGAGCAGGUUGCCCAGAGAAUUUGUAGAGUCUGCAUCCUUGGAGAUGUUCAAAAGCUGCCUGGACACAUGCUGAGCAAUGGGCACUAGGAAGCCCUGCAUGAGCAAAAGAAGACUUUACUCAAUGACCUCCAGAGUGCCUUCUGAAAUCAGCAGGUGUGGGAUUCUCUGAAAUAGGAUCGUUAGAUUAGCACUUAGGUUCAGCAGGACAACGGUGCAGGGAAUUUGUUUGUUUUGUUUUGUUUCUCAGUAUGUAAAGAGUUUGUGACAACUUCAGGGCACACUGAAAUAAUUUCAACUGCAGUAGCAACCACUUGCAGUAGACAGCAUACAGGGAAACGACUUUCAUAAUUAAUAUCAACAUGCACAGUCCCGAUGCUGAGAAAGCGGCAUCUGUAACUAGACAAGUAGACGGGAGCUGCUCUCUUCCACGGUUCUUUUAUUUAUCCCUGCAUGAAAGUGAUGAAAUGUCAUCUGUUUUUGCAAGUGUGAAAAGAUCUUGCACAGAGGACUCAUGGCUAAGAACGUGCAUGUUGUGUUUUCACAGCAAAAAUAAUGUUGGUUUGCAAUGCCGAGGUAUGUAGUAUUUUUACUAGAGCUGUGAGAGAUUAAAAAAACUGCUGAGAAGACAUGGCCCUAUAUGUCUCUUUUUUUCCCCCUUUCUUUUCUAAUUAAUUUAAAUUAAUUUAAUUUAAGUCCACUCAGAAAUAUAGUCAGAAGUAGAGGAGGAGAGGGAGUGGAACAUAGACAAAUAGGGGAAUGAAAACUGAGCAUGAUUUAAAUAGGAAAAUCAAGUUUCACCUGCACCUGGAGUAAUUGUGGAAAGACAUGGCUUUCCAACAGAUGAUGAUUUUUUUUUUUAAGUACCUGUAAUGGGCCAUGGGAAGGUGAUGGAGUAACAGAGUAGCUGAACUUGACUGAAAAGAUGUUUAAUUUAGAGAUUGCCAGAUACCCUUCUGGCAACUUCAUAUUAAGGUUUUUAUAUGCUGUGGGGUAUUUCUUGUUCUCUGGGUCAAAUUUGGAUAUAUUCUUACGGUAGAAUGUAUUGUGUGUCAGCUGACAUGCAUUAUGCUCUAUCUAUGUCUUGUGAAAGUAAAAUUAGGCAAGCAAGAUGUUCUGAGGCAAAAUUUGAAUAAGAUACAUUAGAAUUAAGAAAACAGAUACAGAAACACGCUUUCAUGGGUUAGAGAAGAAGAUUUAAAACAAGAAAUCUAAAAGGCCUGAAAAUAUAGUAACUGUCCUUAAAUUGUCUCUAGUAAAUUUACUUUCUAAAAGAAGAUAUCCAAAGACUUAAUUGUAUUUCAUGCCCCUAGCUCUAAUGCCACACUGUUUCAGUAUUUAUAUAUGCCCUGUAAAGCUGGUAUAUUUGAUAUGUCAUUCAUUAGUCUGUGCUGGCUUAUUCUUUGAGGUGUGGUAAUUAAGAUCAGUUCUUUAGAGGAUUCAGUUAUUCUGUUUUGGGCUUGUUAAUAUGUUAGUUGUGUAUUCUGAUUCCAAUUGUUUAAUGGUUUCCAUUAAAUAAUGAAUAAAACCCCUUUCGGGAAGCCAGUUAGAAAUGCAUGACUUAUUCAGUGUGAGGUAUCUUCAAAUCUUGGCAGCUUUGGGCUGAGGAAGAAUUGAAAAAUAGUUUUAUCCCCAACCACACAGUGACAAAGUGAUUGGAUUGUUUUAUAUGGUAGUGAAAUUGUUUGUACGGGAAAGUGACUUUGUCUUUGUUACAUAUUUGUUUCAUAAAUUAGAAAAAAAGAUCUAAGGUAAACGUUCAGCUCAUCUGGUUUAUAACAGAAACCAUGACUAUAGUGGAUAGAGUACAAAGAUGAGCUCAUCCAAGAAUUCUUCUGAAACAGCAAUUUAUCACCUAGGUAAUUUUAAAGGUUCCUCGUGUCAUUGUAAGGGUGGCAGACGCAGACUUUAAAAAAAUGUUCUUUAUAGUACCUGAAUAGGCUGAUGCUUAAAACAGAGACUUAACUAAUGAUAGACUAUGCAUCUUGUAACUAUUGGCUAAAAAUCUUCAGCAUCUGCACUGAAAUGGAUCACAGAAAAUUGUCUCUUCUUCCAUUCAACAAGGAUGACUUCCAGUAUCAUUAGCAAUUGUUCCCAAGAAAAUUCUGGUUUGGAUUAUAUUAUAUAUACAAUGGGAAUUUAUUUGAGGUUUCCCAAGUUUACUAGUUCCAUUCCCAUGAGCUAACAGACAGUAGAUCAAGUGCUUAACAGUCAAGAAUUCCCAUGGCAAAUAUCCACCAACGUCCCUUUCAUCUGAUGCAAUGGCAUAGUGCCCAUUCUUCUGCUUCAUCAUUCUCCUUCAGUAUACUCAGAGUUCCAGGAAAGGGCCAUAUCAUGUAUUAGACUUCGCGGGAGACAUGAAGCCUAAUCUUUAAAACCUUAUGGUUCUAUUUCGUUUUUUUUUGCUGACCACUGGAAACAAUUACAGAACAGACAACACAUGAGAAUGUCUGACAGCUUCUUCAGUUUCUUUGCGCUCAAUUGCUUAAUGAGACUUUAGGUUUAUGCUUAUUGCAAUCACAGUACCAGAGACUUCAUUUGCAUCUACAUCUUGCAAAUGGACAAGAACUGGGUAACUGAUGGUCAAGAUGGCUCUCGUGAGGGCACCUGAAACCCACCUGUUUGGCCUGGACAUACCUGCUGAUAUUGGCACUAUGGAUCUCACAUCAAGGGCAAUCCGUCAUCGAGCAUGAAGAGAGAUGUGGAUCAAAAAAGCGGGUGACUACAUUCAGCCAGAGGCAGCCUAAACCGUGAUAAGCAACUCCUCUGUAUGGACCAGACAAGGGGCUGCAGAUGCAGCUUUAAAGGUGAGAUCUGCAUACCACAAGAUGAGGACAAUAGGACCCAUCCAGACAGCUAAUGUGAUUCGCCAAUGUAAGCUGCAAGACUUCAGUUCUCGGUUGCAGUUGCAUUAUUACACCCUAUGCUCUGUAUGGGGAAACAAUUAAAACAGGUUUGGCAUACUAGAGAAAACACCAGAAUAUGACAUUGCUGCAUAACAUAGAAGACCUUCUCUUGCUUUUAUGUACAUAUUUGUUGCAAAGAAGAAUAAGAAAGUGUUUAAGGAAUAUAUUAACUCCCCUACAGUUCCUUAAAAUGAAAGUAUGGGCUAUGAAUUAUGUACACCUCUCUGUAAGGACCAAAGCCUGACAAAAAAAAGAAACAGAAGAUUUGCAUUCAGAGACAUCUCUAUUUUAAUAGAGAAGGAUUUUACCCAAAAGUACGUGCUACUGUGUGACAGACAGCUGCUUGACUGGCAAGAGGGAAGCAGAUGACUACCUGAUGAUGGCCAAUUUUCCUGCAGCUCAGUUGGAGGGCUUCUAGUCCAAGCCAAGUUGUCUUGGCUCCCUCUAUAGUCCAAAUAAAGAAAAAGGCACUUCUGGAGAGCAGCUGUUCUCAUACCACACGUUUAUCUUUGGUGCACUGAUGCCUCUUGAUCCCCAGUGUGCUGCAGAGGGGACCUUGAUGAGCAUCUUAGACAAGAACUCAAGUAUUUGACAGUCAACACCAGGUGAGAUGAACUAUAAUGACUGGUGCAACUGAUACACGUAGUUAAUGCCAAAGUACACCUGUGCCCAUUAAUUUAGUCACAUGCGUCAGGCUUCAAAAAUCCAGAUGAGCACUUGAGAUUUGAUUCAAGCUUUAUAACUAUCUGUUUCAUAUUUGAAUCAAAAGUGGCUAUAAAGUGAAAUGUGAGAUUCUCAUAUGUAUGUUACAGUGUUAUGAAAACAGCCAGCUGAGAGGGCAAAACGAGGCAGCGCCUUAUAACUUUUCCUCAUCACAGAGAGGCAUGAAGCAAGCCUGUAGUUUGCAUUUUGCCUACAGCCCUCUCCAAGAAAGAGGGUGGAUGGUUGUUUUCAAUUGUUCAGCUUUGGUGCAGGUCUGUGCAAACCAUAAUUUGAAAGUAAUUGUGGUAAUUACUGCAACUGAAAAAGUUAAAAUGUGCAAGUUCAAUUUUGCUCAGGUAGAGCUGUGCCAGUAAUGGCACCAUUCAUCAUUUUCUGUAAAAACAGUAACAGGUGUUAAUCUACACUCACUGAUGGGAGCAAUGUGAGUGCACAAUAAGCAAAGUGCCAAAAAAAAAAAAAAAAAAAAAAAAAAGCCACCACCAAAAUACUGUCACCGAGAAAGAACUUCUAGUAAUGUCUUUGUAAUUGGACUCAACUGAAGAGUGAAAAAUUAUUUGACUUUUCAGUGAUGGAGAUUGCUAAUGAACCCAAUUUUUCUCUUCUACCUUGAUUAGCUUUCUGUAGGAAGAUCCAUUGUAGCUCUGCACAAUGAAGCUUGCAGGAAUAGACACCCAGCUGCUGUAAUUUUAUCAGCCCUCCCACUUACUGAAAAGUAAUCUUUUUUUCUUUUUUUUUUUUCUUCUUUGACAGGCUGUUGAACUAACUGUUACUAGGUUUUCAAACAUAAUGGAAAACAGUGGGAAGUAGAAUUUAAAUAGGACUUGAACAGCAAUUUUGCAAUUUUUCCAGCCCUAACAGAAACUUUAUAAGACUUCUAAAUGCCUCACACAUCCUGUCCUCCCAAGGUUCUGGAUGUUACUUGUGAGAUACCCUUGGACUAGGGUUGUGUCUUCUGCUCAUUGCUGUACAGAGCUAUCUUAUGGAGCAAGAGGAUAGCCAAAAUAUCCUGUGCUUUGUGUGUGAACUUACUAAAUGGCAUCCAAUUUAUCUACAGAGAACAUUUAAGCAAGCAGAAAAGUAUUUCCCAUUGUGUAUGCACAAUCAGACUGGUACACUGCACAGUUAGUUUCUGCUAUGAAUUCCAGAGAGUUCAAAAGGUAACAUUAGUUGCACCUAUGUGGUUUUGCUCAAGUAAAUGAGGACAUUUUCUCUGCACAGUGCCCACACUUUCGCUACUAGCAGCUACUUCUAGUUGUGCACAGCCAAGAGCCAUUUUCUUUCAAAAUAUGUUCCAUGAUCCCAAACUUUUCUGCGUGGACUUAUUUGGGAAAGAACAAAGCCAGCUGAUGCCCU